UUUGCUGUGGCAGGAUGUGACCCUUUUGCCCCAUGAAAGUGAUUAAUGAAUUUCAAAAUAAUUAAUCAAUCAGCCAACAUUCCCGCUCAACGACUUCACGUUUUGCUCCAAGGUUAAGAUUAUUUUCUGUAAAAAUGCCGAUCAGUAAUUGACUAGACUGAGGACGAUAAUGGAGUGAAGGUGGACGUCAGUAUAACUUCACAAAUAGGAUUCAACAGUUGUAAUAAGGCGCCCUGCCUCCACUGAUGAUGACAUUUCAUAGCGCCUUUACGCGGGACGCGGCGCUCGGAGAAAACACCCAAACUUCACCGCCAUUUACGCAGGAACCUUUAACUUUCGGACGCGAUUAUCUGCAUUAAUUCACAAUGCAUAUAGAUCUUAUCAACCAACUACAAUAAGUUGUAUUCAAAAAGUUUAAAUUCUAUCUUGAAAAAUUCAAAUAGCGUUAUAUUGACAAUGGUCUUUGCAACUUACUUAAAAAAGAAGUCAACUGCACCCCUGAGCGUUGAUGGCCGUUACGCACAGUUUACGUUUAUAAAAGAUGGAAUAUCCAAGAAUUGAACGUGAUGAGUUUAAAUGUAAAUCAUUAUGUUUAGAUGGCAAACACCUUUGGCCUAUCAUUAAUUCUUAGUAGUAUUGGCUCGGUUGAGAGUUCUGGGCCUGUAAUAGAAUUAGCCUCAUUGUACAGGCUUAAUCAGAAUGGGACGGUUCCUGCUGCUGUGUGAGCGUUUGUUUCCGUGUGUGAGUGCGUGGUCCUGUUGCUGUUGAUGAUGAUUAUUAUGAUGUGAUGCUGAUGGUCUCUAAUCCUCGGCUUCUUGCUGAAAGCCUCAUUUAUCCACACCGUGCUGCUCUCACUGCUCGUCCAACCAAACCGCUUCUGAGGUGUUUCACACUUUGGGGCCAAAGUGAGCCCCCACACAGUUAAAGCUAUAGGGCUCCCACUUAGGAUUCCAUUGGAACACAUGUUUACAGUAAAAAAUAACAAAUAAUAAACACGCACAUCACCAUCCUUCUAUAUGUAAUAAUAAGUGGAGCUUCAGAAUGGGGUUUGGAUGGAUCCGCACACCGACCGUGCUGAUUUUAGUUGACAGCGCGUGAUGUAAAUGCGCGACUCUAUAAUUUGUACCUCUGCUCCUAUAUUAGCUUUUUACUAAAAAAGACUAAUGAGGUGUAACACGUUGCGACGUCACCUUUAUUUGGCGUGACGUGAGAACUUUUUGACAUACGGGCUGGUAGCCGAAGUGUUUGGACUGAUGCUGGGAACUUAUUCAGCGCUCUCGGGCGGUUAGUGGCGCUAUUUGUUUAAUAAGAUAAGAAUAUGGUUUGCGGUCUCGCUCGUCGCUCUGUCUCUUUCACUCAUUCACUCACAGAAACACACACACACACACACACACACACACACACACACACUCGCGCGCGUGCAUGGCUGCACAGUCGUGCGACGAAUAUGCGCAUUGUUUGCACGUUGGCACUAUCGCUAUAUGACAAAUUAGCCCGAUACAGCACGCGCGUUAUUGUGUUUGACGCACAGCAGCUUAUUUACACUGCAUACUAGUUCAUUUUAGCGCGCUGGUUUAAACGUAAAGCAAAAUAUUAUUUAUAUUGUUUUUAAUAAUACACAUUUUCCAACUGCGUUUACAAUUGUGAUACAAUUUCAAUCAACCGAAAAAAAAGGAUUUUCUUUCAUUUUCAUUUUUUCUUUAUUACCAAGGUUGUUGAAUUUUUUUCUGACCAUUCUUCCACUUUCCCCUUUUCCUUUCCAAUAAAUUGCCUUUUAUUUCUACUUGGUGCACAACGCUUCCAGCAUUCUGCCGAUAAAUGUAAGAAAAUUGUGCCAUCUACCCGCUAACCCUGGAACUGUAGCUCCGGUACCUCGGAGACCUCGGCUCACUUUAACACAAAAGGAAAAGCGACCGGCGCUUUUACACACAAGCGCCUCGUCGCACAGGCUCACCAAGCAGCUGCCGUCUGCUAUUAGGCUGUAACUUUACAAGUAAUGUGUGUUUUAAGCACCUGUCAGCCACCGUGUUUCCCCACCGCGUCCGUCUGUGGGAGCGGAGCCGGAAAAGGGCCACAGCUCCGCUCUUGUGGGAAGUCGUGGUUUUUUAACGUGAUCGGAGGCAGCGGGGGGGUUAAAGUAAAAGUCCACAAUUUAUUUGGGAGGCUUGCAAUAAAGUAAAAAUAACAAAAAAAUUGCCUAAACCUAAAUUCAUGCUCGUGUAAUGGGGCCAAAGGCUAUAAUUUAUAACGCUGACCAAAAAAAAAACACAUGAUCAUGUUGUUGACAACAUUCGGUGCCUUUUUGGUCCGUUGUGGGGAAUAUUAAGGCACUAAAAUCGAAUUCUCUUAUAUGAAAACCAGAGAUCAGUAUACAGCCACUUUAAAACGAGGAUGUUAAAGCACCGAACGUGCCCCAUUUAACAGAACAUUUGCUCUUCGAGUAGUUUUCAUUAUAGCGAGAAAAGAGAAAUUGAGAAAAAUGCAGAAAGGGGGACCAAUCAACACCAACAAGGCAAAGUUCAGUUGAAAAAAAAAAAUGAAAGAAAAAGAAAGAAAAAACACCGAGAGACUUUGAGAAGUGGGCAGUGCUUUGUGAUGAUAUAAAAAGGGGAGAUAAAGACGACUGCAGAUGAUGUAGUGCGAUAGUGGGAAUAUGCCCCAUGUUGAAUCCCCCCACCCCCCGCCCCCCAUUUUUUGAGAAGGCUAUUUCGGCUUUUCUUUUAACCCAAACGCGCUCCCGGGGAGCCCAUCGCAACACCAGUAGAGCAGCCGGCAUUUCCUCUGAUAACUUGAAUAUUGAAUGCCAAAGGAUCCCAAACAACUUGUGACAGCCACGUCCUGAUGCUCACAAGUUACAGACUCCGUGAUCAAGCUCCCCGGAGCCUCUGAACCUCAACAAUGUAAACAAGUUGGAAAUAAUCUUCUUUACUUUUUUUACUGGAAUGAAAAUGCAAUCUCCCAAACUGAGAUUAAGCAGACGAGUUCUUUCUCUCUCUUCUUCUUUCCCCCCCGUUCCUUGUCAUCGGUGGGGCUGGACUUUGGUGGACAAUAAUGCAGCAAUUGUUGAUGCUUUGUGACCCAUAAAAUUUGAGGGUGGCUAUUCUGGCUUUGGUAUGUAAUUAUGCAAAACACUUUGCAUAAAGACUUGCCAUCCGAUCUAAUGAUAGAGUCUGCAGUCUCGUUUCCAGAGAGGGAGGCACCAGCAAAGCCUGCAACACCGAGUGAUGGAGGAAAAAACUACCAUGAUAAAACCAGACAAACUGCACAUAAGAACACGUCCUAUUGUCCAGGUAAUUCUGUUGUGGUGUGCAUGUAUAAUCUAACAUGACAGGGAGGUGUCCUUAAAUGGAACUGCUACUUACAUUAUGUAUUUGUUUAGCUGAUAUUCUGUUUUCAUGUUAUCACAUAUGUAAAUUUUGAUAUUUCUUUCCGUUCAGACACCCCGAACCGUUUCUUUUUCCCUACAAGGUGUUUCUGAGGAUAAAAAUCGUUUUGGUUUUGACUCUGGGCAGAAAAAAACUAAACAAGAAGAAGAAAUGCAAACACGAGGAGGAAGUCAAAUCCAUUUUGCCUCAUGUGUCUGCGGUGAGGAGCAGAUAAGCCAGAGGACAGGUUAAUCGGUGGUACGGAAGAAGCACAUUUAAUGGAGCACACUAUUGUGUCCAUGGCUCAUAAGCAUCCUGUAUCUAUGUUUACUCUUUGUCUACUUAAGCAAAAAAGUCAGAUUUCUACGCAAUUAAUAAAAGCAGUAUACAUACGUGUUGUUUGUUCAAAGUCUACAAACUGCAUGCCUUUCAGGUGUGCACUGUGCGGCACAUUCUGUGUGUAUAUGCACAUAAUAAACACUUGUGCUGCCUGACAGAGGUGUGAAUCUGAGAGCUUUUCUACCAAAUGAAGUGCCAGCAGAGAGAGAAAUAAAGAGAUCUGCAGCUGUCAGGGGUCAGUCAGGCAGAGAUUGCUUCUAGAGAUCUUUUGAAAAAAUCACACGUUUGAAGGCUUAGUGCUUUGCUGUCUUCGCAUUUCAAGCUCAGAUCAGUGGAAUCAGAAAAAAAAAAAGAGGGGAGAACAUGGGUUGGAGGAUUGUGAUGUUGGGAUGGACACGGGACGAGUCAUUUCACCUGAUCCUUCAGAGGAAGGAGGAGAGCCCAAGUUUUUGUUCUUACAUUAAAACAUGUAUCACAUAA